GAUAUAGUUUGUUUUUUAAACUUUAUUGAGAAAUAUUAACAUAUAAUUGUAUAUUAGAAUACAGGCAUUAAUGUUUUAAAACCCACAGUGGUAGAGUUGGAGAGGACAAUAUUGGCAUUGCUGCUGCGGGGAGUGGAGGUGCCUUCCCCGGAGUAGGGACCUGUAUCUUCUCCCUGCAGCCCUCGCGUCACACGUUGGGGAUGGGAGGAGAAUAAUAGGUUUGCUGGAUAAUUACUCUGUAAGAAUCUCUAGGGCAGAUGACUUAUGGCAGCUAUAGCUGUCCCUCUUAGGGACCGGAAUCUCCUUGGGAUUGGCAGUUGAUCCCCGAACUAGUCUUGCAACUUUUUUUCAGAAUUACUUUUGUGCAGAGGUUUAUCUGGGAGAUUUUUCUUCCAAAUGCCCUCCCCUCCUAAUUUUUAAAUUCUAUUUAAAUUGACGUUCUUUUUAGGUGGGAGUGUUCUGAACUUUUCCUUACCUAAAAGAAUGCAUCUUACUAUUUCUCCUCUUUUUCUCAUGUUUUGUGCCAGGGAAGGAAAAGUGUAUUUAUUAUGACAGAAUUUAGCAUAGUUAGCUUUAUAAAAAUACUGAUAAAUGCAGGAACUGCUGUGAAUAGAAAUGAUAACAUUGAAUUGGAAAUGAAAGCACUGAGCCAAAACACACACCACACUGGUAAACAUCAAAUGUAGGACCAUCGGCCUUGUUUUUUAAAAAUAAAUACCCCUAGCUUACUAAGACCUAGUUUUGUAAAACUGAUUUAAAAGACCUGUAUCUUUUAUGACAUUUCAUUGAACCACUCUACUUUUAGUGUUCUACAAUGUGACAAAAUCUUUUUUUUUAUUGAUGAAAUGGGAGCAGAAUUUUUUCCUGUAUGUUGGUGGUCUCCUUUGGGGAGUGUCUUGUGUGGUGAUCAGUUACAUGUCAGUAACACGUAGGUCACUAUGAAAUGCGAGUUAGCUGGAUAUCUUUUAAUCCAGACUCCAUGUCCCUGGUUGAAAUUCCCCAAGAGACCUUUGGCCCACCUAUCCUGCUGUAUUGUGCCAUGGACCGAGUGACUAAUGCUACACCAAUUCCAGGCCUGCUCUGAAGUCUGCAUUUGUAGGACCCCCAUCUCACAUACUCUUGUAGCCUUCUUUUCAAAGAAUUGCCACUCACGCAGAGGGCAUGUUUCGAGAGCUGCUGUGCCCUUUCCUGUCCCAACUAUGGGGGCCAGUUGGCCUUUUGGUUUUGGUGAACCCUGCUUUAACAAGGCUUCCUGGCAUUUCCACAUCUUCUAUGAGAGCGGGCAUUCUGUGCUGUAUUUGUCCCAUGGGACAUCUUGUACUCAUGCUUGUCCCGGCUAUGUGUGCUGUGGCUCCUGUCACUGUCUGCUGUAAGUUCAACUUCGUUUACAAAAAGAUUGUCUCAAAUUG